UAUUAAAAUUUUUUAUCUAUUUGUACUGUUAAAAACUGGUAUGGUUGAUAGAAUAACCAAAUAGUAAGACAUGGCUUGCCAUGUUUACUUCAUAUUAACGUACAGAGACCAGUUUUGAACAAUAAAAAUGGAUGAAAUUUUUAACA
rfam:Gossypium hirsutum cultivar TM-1 chromosome 1, whole genome shotgun sequence